CUUUCAACAGACAUGUACAAAGGGGACAGACCUCUGGGCGGUCCUGGGUUAAGCUAGAGCCACCAUUGGCACAGGGGAGAAACAGGAAGUGAGGUAGAGGAGAGCUCAGGAGUGCUGGAACUUCCUGGGUGGAGGAGAGUGUGGUGGUUGGAGCCUGGGGCUUGGAGUGGAGGCCCUCAGACUGUUUCUCCAUUUUGGUCACUAGGGCUUCAAAGUUUUCAAAUGACUGAUGUCAUAUCAUUUUAUUCCUACAACAAUCCUGGAAUACUGGAACUGUGAGCAAACUGAGGCUGAGAGAGCUUUGAUGAUUUGUCCAGGACUGCAGAGCUAUGAAACAUCUAAGGUAAGAUUUCAGGAGCUUAGCUUACAAUCUGAUGGGGAAGACAGUUCACAAAAGGAAGCUGAAAAUGAGAGAGUACCAGAGCUUUAUCAGGUUAAAAAACAUAGUGAAGAUGAUGGAGCUAAAACCCAAAAGAGCAGCCAAAGGCAAAUGAAAUGAAUGACAUUUUGAACUCCAUAUAAAAGGAGGCUAUGGAUGGAGUUUGUUUGCUUCACUCUGCAGUCCUCCAAACAGAAGAGGCAGAAGAAACUGAAGAUACUGAUGAGAUGCAAGUAGGAAAGUUGAAGCAAUCUCCUUAAUUGGGAGAAAAUGUGGGGGAAGUCUACAAUAGUAAUACUAAAAUAAGAGAGUGAAACACUUAAAAAAUUGCAAAGCAGGGGCAGUUAGGUGGCUUAGUGGAUAGAGAGUCAGAUGUGGAGAUGGGUGUUCAAAUCUGACCUCACCCACUUCCUAGUUGUGUG
rnacentral:lncRNA from 1 species